rnacentral:rRNA from 1 species
CCUACGGGAGGCAGCAGUGGGGAAUAUUGGGCAAUGGACGCAAGUCUGACCCAGCAACGCCGCGUGAAGGAAGAAGUCUUUCGGGUUGUAAACUUCUUUUAAGGGGGAAGAGCAGAAGACGGUACCCCUUGAAUAAGCCACGGCUAAAGACGUGCCAGCAGCCGCGGUAAUACGUAGGGGGCAAGCGUUGUCCGGAUUUACUGGGUGUAAAGGGCGUGCAGGCGGAGACAGAAGUCAGGUGUGAAAUCCACGGGCUCAACCCGUGAACUGCAUUUGAAACUGUUUCGCUUGAGUGUCGGAGAGGUAAGCGGAAUGCCUGGUGUAGCGGUGAAAUGCGUAGAUAUUAGGAAGAACACCAGUGGCGAAGGCGGAUUACUGGACUAUAACUGACGGUGAGGCGCGAAAGCGUGGGGAGCAAACAGGAUUAGAUACCCGAGUAGUC